GGUUGACGUUUUGGGUACUUUUUUUGGCACGACAAAGAGAUCUACUACAUGGUUCGGUAAUUGUGUGAAACAUUGUUGUACUAAAAAACAUCGGCCUUAGACUGAAGAAAAAACAUUUGGAAACACAUGAAGACAGUCGCCACAUAAAGAAUGAAACAAUAAAUGAAAUUGAAACUGAUUUUUUAUUUCCGAAAACGAUAGAAAUUCCAAAAAGAAAACAAAGAAAUCCUAUCGGAAGAACAAAUAUUUCACUCGACUUCCACAUUCGAAAACAGUGGCAGUGAAUGCGAUUCUUUGACAAUGUCAGUUCAGAGGAAGGAUUUGUAAGGCCCAGUUUGGGUAUUCACUGACGGACCAAUUGCUUUGCAAUUUUUAGGCUCAAAAUUGAUUUUUUUGCUAGAAAGCUAUUACUUUGAUUUGUUCCUAAAUUUUCUGUGCGAUCUGAUAUUUCAACUAAAAUGCGCUGUAUAAUUUUUAGUUAUGGUACACGUUUCUAUGAUAUCGUGAUGGCUGUCUUCCACUUUUUAUGACACCGUGACGGAUGAUACCGGUAGUCUACUGGGACAGAUUGCACACUACCCAUACCUAUACUAAUGCGGUUUAAAUUUGCGUAACUGAGACUAUAUAUAUGCAAGUCUCAAAUGUUCCGAGUAUCCUGUGUUAAUUGUGCAUUUAUUAUGUGAAACUGCGCUGCAUGUUAUUUCUUACUUCUUUUUGUUUCUUUCUUUGCUUCUGUUUUCUUUUUUAUUAUUUCACUUUCGUCCGAGUUAGUGUCAGUCAGAGAUGCAACGUCGAAAUCGUUACGCAUAUAUCUAAAUCAGCAUCAGAUUGAAAGUAGAGGCAAAAGGCCUUAAGCUGGCUAUGGUAAUACCGUAAAAUACUUUGACAAUACUUGGACGACGAGGCGCCAUUAUUGGGAUUGAAACACACUCAUUGCGAUUAUUAAAAUACUCAUUUAACCUGUAAAUAGGUAAACCGAAAAACUUUUGAC